CUGCUGGUAAAGGUCAUUACGUAUUACUUUACUUACCGGAGGAAAAGAAACCAACAGGGAUUGCCCCAGUAGCGGCGAGCGAAGCGGCAACAGCUCAAAUUUGAAAUCUGGUCCCCCCCGCGGGGGCCCGAGUUGUAAUUUGUAGAGGAUGCUUCUGGCGCGGCGCCUUCCGAGUUCCCUGGAACGGGACGCCACAGAGGGUGAGAGCCCCGUCUGGUCGGACGCCCAGCCUGUGUGAAGCUCCUUCGACGAGUCGAGUAGUUUGGGAAUGCUGCUCAAAACGGGAGGUAUAUGUCUUCUAAAGCUAAAUAUUGGCCAGAGACCGAUAGCGCACAAGUAGAGUGAUCGAAAGAUGAAAAGCACUUUGAAAAGAGGGUUAAACAGUACGUGAAAUUGUUGAAAGGGAAGCGCUUGCGACCAGACAUGGGCGCGGUGAAUCACCCGGCGUUCUCGCCGGUGCACUUCGCCGGGCCCAGGCCAGUAUCAGUUCGCCGCGGGGGACAAAGGCGGGGGAACGUGGCUCCCCCGGGAGUGUUAUAGCCCGCCGCGAAUGCCCUGGGGCGGACUGAGGUUCGCGCUCCGCAAGGAUGCUGGCGUAAUGGUCAUCAGCGACCCGUCUUGAAACACGGACCAAGGAGUCGUCCUCGUAUGCGAGUGUUCGGGUGUCAAACCCUUGCGCGUAAUGAAAGUGAACGCAGGUGAGAGCUUCGGCGCAUCAUCGACCGAUCCUGAUGUUCUCGGAUGGAUUUGAGUAAGAGCAUACGGGGCCGGACCCGAAAGAAGGUGAACUAUGCCUGUAUAGGGUGAAGCCAGAGGAAACUCUGGUGGAGGCUCGCAGCGGUUCUGACGUGCAAAUCGAUCGUCAAAUAUGGGCAUGGGGGCGAAAGACUAAUCGAACCUUCUAGUAGCUGGUUUCCGCCGAAGUUUCCCUCAGGAUAGCAGUGUUGAUCUCAGUUUUAUGAGGUAAAGCGAAUGAUUAGGGACUCGGGGG
rnacentral:rRNA from 1 species